rnacentral:rRNA from 1 species
AUUGAACGCUGGCGGCAUGCUUUACACAUGCAAGUCGAACGGCAGCGCGGGCUUCGGCUUGGCGGCGAGUGGUGAACGGGUGAGUAAUGCAUCGGAACGUGCCCAGUAGUGGGGGAUAGCCCGGCGAAAGCCGGAUUAAUACCGCAUACGACCUGAGGGUGAAAGCGGGGGACCGAAAGGCCUCGCGCUAUUGGAUCGGCCGAUGUCGGAUUAGCUAGUUGGUGGGGUAAAGGCUUACCAAGGCGACGAUCCGUAGCUGCUCUGAGAGGACGACCAGCCACACUGGGACUGAGACACGGCCCAGACUCCUACGGGAGGCAGCAGUGGGGAAUUUUGGACAAAGGGGGCAACCCUGAUCCAGCCAUGCCGCGUGCGGGAAGAAGGCCUUCGGGUUGUAAACCGCUUUUGUUCGGGAAGAAAUGCUCUGGGCUAAUACCCCGGGGGGAUGACGGUACCGGAAGAAUAAGCACCGGCUAACUACGUG